AUUGAACGCUGGCGGCAGGCCUAACACAUGCAAGUCGAACGGUAGCACAGAGAGCUUGCUCUCGGGUGACGAGUGGCGGACGGGUGAGUAAUGUCUGGGAAACUGCACGAUGGAAGGGGAUAACUACUGGAAACGGUAGCUAAUACCGCAUAACGUCGCAAGACCAAAGUGGGGGACCUUCGGGCCUCACACCAUCGGAUGUGCCCAGAUGGGAUUAGCUAGUAGGUGGGGUAAUGGCUCACCUAGGCGACGAUCCCUAGCUGGUCUGAGAGGAUGACCAGCCACACUGGAACUGAGACACGGUCCAGACUCCGACGGGAGGCAGCAGUGGGGAAUAUUGCACAAUGGGCGCAAGCCUGAUGCAGCCAUGCCGCGUGUAUGAAGAAGGCCUUCGGGUUGUAAAGUACUUUCAGCGGGGAGGAAGGCGGUGGAGUUAAUAACUUCACCGAUUGACGUUACCCGCAGAAGAAGCACCGGCUAACUCCGUGCCAGCAGCCGCCGUAA
rnacentral:rRNA from 1 species